UACGUAGGUGGCAAGCGUUAUCCGGAUUUACCGGGUGUAAAGGGCGCGUAGGCGGGCAUGCAAGUCAGAUGUGAAAUACCGAGGCUUAACCUCGGGGGGUCAUUUGAAACUGCAUGUCUUGAGUGAUGGAGAGGCAGGCGGAAUUCCUAGUGUAGCGGUGAAAUGCGUAGAUAUUAGGAGGAACACCAGUGGCGAAGGCGGCCUGCUGGACAUUAACUGACGCUGAUGCGCGAAAGCGUGGGGAUCAAACAGG
rnacentral:rRNA from 1 species